rnacentral:pre_miRNA from 1 species
CUCUGGAUUAGGCUUUGGCUUAAGGGAACGUUGUGGCUGGUUUGAUCUUCUAUCCAGACCACUCCGGCUUUCUCCCUAUCAGC